UACAGAGGUCUCAACCGUUGUUCGGAUUCAUUGGGCGUAAAGGGUGCGUAGGCGGUCGCGUAAGUCAGGUGUGAAAUCCCGGGGCUCAACCCCGGAACUGCACUUGAUACUGCGUGGCUAGGGUACUGGAGAGGAGACUGGAAUUUACGGUGUAGCAGUGAAAUGCGUAGAUAUCGGGAGGGACACCGGUGGCGAAGGCGGGUCUCUGGCCACACCCUGACGCUGAGGCGCGAAAGCGUGGGGAGCAAACGGG
rnacentral:rRNA from 1 species